GUCAACCUCUGAGACUCUCCUGUGUUGGAAUGUUUCCACGGGCCCAUUACAAGUUGAUGCCACUUACCGUGUGGAUCUGCUUUCCUACAUUCAUUUGAAACACACUCACUCUCAGUUCUGAGCUAACUUAAGAUCAUCUAGGUUCCUCCUGACCCCUGGAGGGUUCCUCCUGAGCCCCUAGACAGUUCCUCCUAACUGUCUUUCGAUUCCUAAUAAACUUAAUCUAGCAGACAAGCACCAGGGAGAGGAGCAAGCAUUUCCCUCUAGGUCCUCACUGCCUUAUUUUCUAUCCACUGUCUCCCUCCUUGGCUAUGUUAAAAGAGGGUGUAUCGAUAGGGGUACGUGGAGAAAAUGUUUGAAAGGUUUGUACAUGUAGUCUUAUUUUCACUUUUUUUUCCCUUGAUACUGGUGAUUGAACCCAGGGUCACUUAACCACUGAGCCACAUCCCCAACCUUUUUUAUAUUUUAUUUAGAGAGAGGGUCUUGCUGAGUUAGGGCCUCACUAGGUUACUGAGGCUGGCUUUGAACUCAAGAUCCUCCUGCCUUAGCGUCCAGGCAUGUGUCAC
rnacentral:lncRNA from 1 species